UUGCCAGAUCAUUUUAGUUCCAAUUUUCCUCUCUCAGAGUUGCAAUAAGUCUGUAUGCUAAUUUUAGCAUCCCUUUGGAUGGAGCUACCUGAUGGAGAAGCUGUGUUUUUUAUGAUGUAGUUAAAGAGGCCAUUACAGCAGUCUGUCAGGUCGUGAAAUGAGUCAUUACAGCAGCCUGUCAGGUAGUUAAAUGAGUCAUUACAGCAGCCUGUGGGGUAGUUAAAUGAGUCAUUACAGCAGCCUGUCAGGUAGUUAAAUGAGUCAUUACGGCAGCCUGUCAGGUAGUGAAAUGAGUCAUUACAGCAGCCUGUCAGGUAGUUAAAUGAGUCAUUACGGCAGCCUGUCAGGUAGUGAAAUGAGUCAUUACAGCAGCCUGUCAGGUAGUUAAAUGAGUCAUUACGGCAGCCUGUCAGGUAGUGAAAUGAGUCAUUACAGCAGCCUGUCAGGUAGUUAAAUGAGUCAUUACGGCAGCCUGUCAGGUAGUGAAAUGAGUCAUUACAGCAGCCUGUCAGGUAGUGAAAUGAGUCAUUACGGCAGCCUGUCAGGUAGUGAAAUGAGUCAUUACAGCAGCCUGUCAGGUAGUGAAAUGAGUCAUUACGGCAGCCUGUCAGGUAGUUAAAUGAGUCAUUACAGCAGCCUGUCAGGUAGUUAAAUGAGUCAUUACGGCAGCCUGUCAGGUAGUUAAAUGAGUCAUUACGGCAGCCUGGCAGGUAGUGAAAUGAGUCAUUACAGCAGCCUGUCAGGUAGUUAAAUGAGUCAUUACGGCAGCCUGUC